rnacentral:lncRNA from 1 species
AUGGUCAGGGGGAAUUUAUUGCGAAGGGUAGUGGAGUAGACCCGUGGCUAUUGCUAUGGCCUGCCACGUAGAGCCUGUUGCAGGUAGUGGAGCGGCGUCCGUUGCCGCUAGUUGUUAGGGAGUAGUGGAGUCGCGCAGCACCUGCCGCAGGGAGCGGAGCAGAAUCGUGGCUGUUGAUACAGCCUGUCAGAGAGUAAUGGGUUGCGUAGGGUUCGCCGCAGGGAGUGGAGCAGGGCUGCGUCCGCUACUGC